UACGUAGGGGGCAAGCGUUGUCCGGAAUCAUUGGGCGUAAAGCGCGCGUAGGCGGCCCGGUAAGUCCGUUGUGAAAGUCAAAGGCUCAACCUUUGAACGCCGAUGGAUACUGCCGGGCUAGAGUCCGGAAGAGGCGAGUGGAAUUCCUGGUGUAGCGGUGGAAUGCGCAGAUAUCAGGAGGAACACCAACGGCGAAGGCAGCUCGCUGGGACGGUACUGACGCUGAGGCGCGAAAGCGUGGGGAGCAAACAGG
rnacentral:rRNA from 1 species